UCCGGUUUGUCACCGGCAGUCUCCCUAGAGUUCCCAUCCGAAAUGCUGGCAACUAGGGACAAGGGCUGCGCUCGUUGCGGGACUUAACCCAACAUCUCACGACACGAGCUGACGACAGCCAUGCAGCACCUGUAUCCCGGUUCCCGAAGGCACCAAUCCAUCUCUGGAAAGUUCCGAGUAUGUCAAGGGCAGGUAAGGUUCUUCGCGUUGCAUCGAAUUAAACCACAUGCUCCACCGCUUGUGCGGGUCCCCGUCAAUUCCUUUGAGUUUUACCGUUGCCAGCAAGUAGUGUUGGGGACUCGCGGGAGACUGCCGGGGUUAACUCGGAGGAAGGUGGGGAUGACGUAACUUACAGCGUAC
rnacentral:misc_RNA from 1 species